CCGGGCUUGCUCGGGAGAGUAAAGUGGCGAACGGGUGAGUAACGCGUGGGUAACCUGCCCCUGAAUCUGGAAUAACAUCGCGAAAGCGACGCUAAUACCGGAUAUUGUCCCAGGGACUGUGGUCCUUGUGAUGAAAGAUGACCUCUUCACGAAAGUUGUCGUUCAGGGAGGGGCCCGCGUACCAUUAGCUAGUUGGUAGGGUAAUGGCCUACCAAGGCGAAGAUGGUUAGCUGGUCUGAGAGGAUGACCAGCCACACUGGCACUGAAACACGGGCCAGACUCCUACGGGAGGCAGCAGUGAGGAAUUUUGCGCAAUAGGGGAAACCCUGACGCAGCAACGCCGCGUGAGUGAAGAAGGCCCUCGGGCCGUAAAGCUCUGUCAAGUGGGAAAAAAGCUUGUUGGUGAAUAGCCAGCAAGACUGAUGGUACCAUUGAAGGAAGCACCGGCUAACUCCGUGCCAGCAGCCGCGGUAAUACGGAGGGUGCAAGCGUUGUUCGGAAUUACUGGGCGUAAAGGGCGCGUAGGCGGUGUGGUAAGUCAGAUGUGAAAGCCCUGGGCUUAACCCAGGAAGUGCAUUUGAAACUACCAUGCUCGAGUAUGGGAGAGGAGAGUGGAAUUCCCAGUGUAGAGGUGAAAUUCGUAGAUAUUGGGAGGAACACCCGUGGCGAAGGCGACUCUCUGGACCAAUACUGACGCUGAGGCGCGAAAGCGUGGGGAGCAAACAGGAUUAGAUACCCUGGUAGUCCACGCCGUAAACGAUGAGCACUAG
rnacentral:rRNA from 1 species